UACAGGUGUGAGCCACCAUGCCUGGCCCCAAAUUUGUUUGUAUGUGCUGAGCUUCCAUCUUCUGGAUUAGAGUUUGAUCUUCAGGGCUGUGUUUGAGAAUUGUGGGGGUAGGAAAAGAACUAGGAGUUUAAGCAGAUUGGGGAAGGGGCAGAAGAGAUUGGGAAGAUAAAUAUUGUUAGGGAUUCACUGUUAAGAGUUUCUGUUUCAGGAGAACUUUGUGAGUUUUUUAUCUGAACUACUAAUUACAGAGUGUAUUUUAACCAGCUAAAGGUCUGCAGAACAGAAGGAGGCUUAUAAUAAGAAAGCACGUCGUGGUUCUAUCUUGACUUUGCCUAAAUUGGAUUUAACUCCCUAUCUAAGAAAACUUGACAGUAUGUAUUUUUAAAGUUUACAAACAAGAAGAAGAUUACAAUUAAUGUUAAUGUUUCUGUACUGAUGAAAAACAAAUUCAGGUACUAUCAUGAGCUCAUUCCAUUUGGUUCGUUUUUUGUUUAUUUGUUUGUUUUGAAGGAGUAGGAGUCAGCUUUUUCCUGGGAAUGGCCCUGAAGUACACGUGGGCUGGGACCUGGCGUGUGGCUGGAGACUCCAGUAUAGCUUGCAGCCUUCCCGUCCAGUAAUUGCAAGGUGAAAACAAAAGUGAGCAGCUGGCAGCAUACACUGCCAGGGAGCUCAGGCCGCAAGCAGCCCAGAAGAAGGAAGUACUGUCACUGUGGGGCUCCAGGUUUUCAUAAGUACAUGCGGGUGUCAAACAUGCCAGGGCCGUGAGUAGGAGGGUCUACCCUGGGGAGAGACAUUUCUGGCUGUAGUGGAAUGUCCCCUAUGAGCCCGUAGGUCUUAAUUCAGAAGUAAGUUCCCAAGGAAAGCAAGAGUCCAAAGUUGCCAAACCUGUUAUUUCCUGGAAAUCAAGGCAGUUUAUCCAGUUUAUGUAAUGUUUAACAAUUGCAGGGCCCAGCUGUGGGCACCUGGGCGGGGCAUGGAGGGCAAGGCCCCCAAGCCAGAGAGACUCAGGUACUAGUUAUCUUCUGUGGGCCUAAGGUCACUCAGGAAGAAGGAAGGAGAGCAACAGAGCCCGUGAUUUGUGGUCCUGAGACAUGGAAGUGCUUAAUCCAUAUUUUGGCUUCUGAGAAUCCGGUUGGAGAUGAGUAGCUGGGAAACUUAGGACUGUCCCACUCCUGGGAGAAUGAAUGAGGUCAUGUUUGUAGAGGGCUUUGAGCUGAUGGGAGGAAAGCAACUUCCUAAAUGCAAGAUCCAACAAAGCUGAAAGAUGGAAUCUGAGGGCUCUCAGAACUCCCAAUAGGCCCAAGGCUCAGAGAGGAAACAAAAUCCACUCAAGGUCAUGAACACUCGCUUUUCCCUGCUGACUGAUGGUAGCACUGGGAUUCGAUUCAGAUGCCAGGACAAAAGGACAAGGUGGCCAAGAGAAGUAGAAAGGUGUUGAGAGGAGAAGGAGAAUGGGAAAGGGCCAAUAAGAAGACAAUGAAAACAAGCAGCGCCAAGGCAGCUGGGCCAGGCUGGACUCACACACUCCCUGAAGGCUCGGGUCCAGGAGGCACUGGUGGUUCAAUUUUCCCUGCUCUAAGGAGCCUUCUUGGAUUAUCUCCUUAUGACCUGUGGUUGCUCGUUUGGGUCAGAGUCGCUGUCUGAGGUCACAGAAAACGGAAAAAGGGCCAGCCCUUGCUUGGAGGAAUCUACCUUGCUGCAAUAUACAAGCCAUAAGCCAUAACGAUGUCCUCUCUGGCACUUUGCACCAUAUGGAACAUGCCAGCAGACAAUGAGAGGACUGAAGAGCUGAGCAUCGGCAAUGAAACGCUUAGCCUGGGAGCACAGCACACGCUGCAUAACGACCUUUCUGUCAAUGAUGGGUUGCGUCUGUGAAGCCCAGAGUGGAGGACGAAAUUAACAAUGAGGAAUUCACACUCAGCAAAAAGCAAAAUAUGAAAGCCUGAUUGCGGAUUUCCUAAUGGACAAGAUUAUUUUCCUCUACAGAGAGCCUUAGGUUGCCAGAGGAACCAUCUGCAGGGCCCCAAAGCAUUUAGGAUCAGACUAUUCUGUCGACGUUAGCCUAGCCCACUGAUCUGGAGCAGGAUGUGACAUUCUCCGCUGGUGGUUUUGGCUUCAAUCCACCGAAGCCACAUGUCGAGGACUAAAAGAGGGAUCGGGCCCAUGUGUGGCUGAUUGGGCCCUAUCUUCUGGAGAGAGCUGGUACUCAUUAAGAACAGCCAAGAUUCUCAUCUUCCUGUCCCAAAAUCAGAGACCUUUCUUAGCUCUUUCAGGUCACCUGAGAUACUGGUUUGCCUCCCAAACCCUGCUGCCUCAGGAAUGCUGUGCUGCAGGGCUGUGUCUGUCAGUUUCCACCUGCAGGCUCCCUCACUCCUUCCUGCACUAAGCUAAUCAUUGCAUGUGUUACAAGGGUGGAAAUGGCACAUCUGGGCUGAAACCAGGACAGCAACAUGAACAAAAUGAAAAGUCCAAAGGGACAAGCUCACCUAAAAAUUACUUGUCCCCGUACUUCCCCCACCCUUCUCCUUUCUCCCUUAGACCCAAGUUGCAGAAGAAGAGCUUCAAUGUGAUAGAAAUACCUGGCUUUGCCCCUUGCCUUCCAGGGAUGUUUAGAGAAAACCGCUGAGACCCUUGGAUGUUGUGUUGUCUGCUGGGAUUCUCCCAAGGGCUGCAUCCAUAGUGUGGAAAUGGAUAGGGUGCUACAAGGCUAUUUCCACAAAGCACGUGUGGUAUUUGCAUGUGAUUUCCCUAUGCACACUGUGCAACCCCUCCCCAGACCAUUUUUCAAGUUAAAAACAUUUUUAUGGCUCUCUUGGUGCAGUCACUUCUGGAUUUUUCCUCCUAUCUGAGCUGCCUUCUCCCUCGGGCACUCUCCCUGGCCCAGAUCUUUGGCGAGGGAGCCAAGUGGAGCCAGGGAAGAACCAUAGAGGAAUGCAGGACUCAGCCCCUCUAGAGUCGGCUGCUCCGAGGGUCUAGCUGCUUAUCUCGCCUUUGCCCAGGGCACUGGCUGAGAUUCUAUUUCCAAAAUUGUUCACACUAGGUGAUUACACUGUAGACUGUGGGACUGUAGCUCAAUUCACAAAAAGUCUCUUUGAUCUAGAAGUUUCUAAACUGCCUUCUAUCCGUUUCUCUUCUGUCUCUGGUCAACAUUCUUUUAAAAAUGAGUCUUGGCUGGGUGUGGUGG
rnacentral:lncRNA from 1 species